rnacentral:tRNA from 1 species
GCCCGGGUGGCGGAAUUGGUAGACGCGUUGGACUUAAAAUCCAAUGAGCAUUGCGCUCGUGCCGGUUCGAUCCCGGCUCCGGGUACCA